AUUGAACGCUAGCGGGAUGCUUUACACAUGCAAGUCGAACGGCAGCGCGGACUUCGGUCUGGCGGCGAGUGGCGAACGGGUGAGUAAUGUAUCGGAACGUGCCCAUUAGCGGGGGCUUACUACGCGAAAGCGUAGCUCAUACCGCAUACGCCCUUCGGGGGAAAGCAGGGGAUCGUAAGACCUUGCACUCUUGGACCGGCCGAUAUCGGAUUAGCUAGUUGGUGAGGUAACGGCUCACCAAGGCGACGAUCCGUAGCUGGUUUGAGGGGACGACCAGCCACACUGGGACUGAGACACGGCCCAGACUCCUACGGGAGGCAGCAGUGGGGAAUGUUGGACAAUGGGGGCAAGCCUGAUCCAGCCAUCCCGCGUGGGCGAUGAAGGCCUUCGGGUUGUAAAGCACUUUUGGCAGGAAAGAAACGUAGCGGGCUAAUACCCCGUGGAACUGACGGUACCUGCAGAAUAAGCACCGGCUAACUACGUG
rnacentral:rRNA from 1 species